rnacentral:rRNA from 1 species
UCAAGUGAAUAAGUGCAUCAGGCGGAUGCCUUGGCGAUGAUAGGCGACGAAGGACGUGUAAGCCUGCGAAAAGCGCGGGGGAGCUGGCAAUAAAGCUAUGAUUCCGCGAUGUCCGAAUGGGGAAACCCACUGCAUUCUGUGCAGUAUCCUAAGUUGAAUACAUAGGCUUAGAGAAGCGAACCCGGAGAACUGAACCAUCUAAGUACCCGGAGGAAAAGAAAUCAACCGAGAUUCCGCAAGUAGUGGCGAGCGAACGCGGAGGAGCCUGUACGUAAUAACUGUCGAGAUAGAAGAACAAGCUGGGAAGCUUGACCAUAGCGGGUGACAGUCCCGUAUUCGAAAUCUCAACAGCGGUACUAAGCGUACGAAAAGUAGGGCGGGACACGUGAAAUCCUGUCUGAAUAUGGGGGGACCAUCCUCCAAGGCUAAAUACUCAUCAUCGACCGAUAGUGAACCAGUACCGUGAGGGAAAGGCGAAAAGAACCCCGGGAGGGGAGUGAAACAGAACCUGAAACCUGAUGCAUACAAACAGUGGGAGCGCCCUAGUGGUGUGACUGCGUACCUUUUGUAUAAUGGGUCAACGACUUACAUUCAGUAGCGAGCUUAACCGGAUAGGGGAGGCGUAGGGAAACCGAGUCUUAAUAGGGCGAUGAGUUGCUGGGUGUAGACCCGAAACCGAGUGAUCUAUCCAUGGUCAGGUUGAAGGUGCCGUAACAGGUACUGGAGGACCGAACCCACGCAUGUUGCAAAAUGCGGGGAUGAGCUGUGGGUAGGGGUGAAAGGCUAAACAAACUCGGAGAUAGCUGGUUCUCCCCGAAAACUAUUUAGGUAGUGCCUCGAGCAAGACACUGAUGGGGGUAAAGCACUGUUAUGGCUAGGGGGUUAUUGCAACUUACCAACCCAUGGCAAACUCAGAAUACCAUCAAGUGGUUCCUCGGGAGACAGACAGCGGGUGCUAACGUCCGUUGUCAAGAGGGAAACAACCCAGACCGCCGGCUAAGGUCCCAAAUGAUAGAUUAAGUGGUAAACGAAGUGGGAAGGCACAGACAGCCAGGAUGUUGGCUUAGAAGCAGCCAUCAUUUAAAGAAAGCGUAAUAGCUCACUGGUCGAGUCGUCCUGCGCGGAAGAUGUAACGGGGCUCAAAUCUAUAACCGAAGCUGCGGAUGCCGGUUUACCGGCAUGGUAGGGGAGCGUUCUGUAGGCUGAUGAAGGUGCAUUGUAAAGUGUGCUGGAGGUAUCAGAAGUGCGAAUGUUGACAUGAGUAGCGAUAAAGCGGGUGAAAAGCCCGCUCGCCGAAAGCCCAAGGUUUCCUACGCAACGUUCAUCGGCGUAGGGUAAGUCGGUCCCUAAGGCGAGGCAGAAAUGCGUAGUCGAUGGGAAACAGGUUAAUAUUCCUGUACUUGAUUCAAAUGCGAUGUGGGGACGGAGAAGGUUAGGUUGGCAAGCUGUUGGAAUAGCUUGUUUAAGCCGGUAGGUGGAAGACUUAGGCAAAUCCGGGUUUUCUUAACACCGAGAAGUGAUGACGAGUGUCUACGGACACGAAGCAACCGAUACCACGCUUCCAGGAAAAGCCACUAAGCUUCAGUUUGAAUCGAACCGUACCGCAAACCGACACAGGUGGGCAGGAUGAGAAUUCUAAGGCGCUUGAGAGAACUCGGGAGAAGGAACUCGGCAAAUUGAUACCGUAACUUCGGGAGAAGGUAUGCCCUCUAAGGUUAAGGACUUGCUCCGUAAGCCCCGGAGGGUCGCAGAGAAUAGGUGGCUGCGACUGUUUAUUAAAAACACAGCACUCUGCCAACACGAAAGUGGACGUAUAGGGUGUGACGCCUGCCCGGUGCCGGAAGGUUAAUUGAAGAUGUGCAAGCAUCGGAUCGAAGCCCCGGUAAACGGCGGCCGUAACUAUAACGGUCCUAAGGUAGCGAAAUUCCUUGUCGGGUAAGUUCCGACCCGCACGAAUGGCGUAACGAUGGCCACACUGUCUCCUCCCGAGACUCAGCGAAGUUGAAGUGGUUGUGAAGAUGCAAUCUACCCGCUGCUAGACGGAAAGACCCCGUGAACCUUUACUGUAGCUUUGCAUUGGACUUUGAAGUCACUUGUGUAGGAUAGGUGGGAGGCUUGGAAGCAGAGACGCCAGUCUCUGUGGAGUCGUCCUUGAAAUACCACCCUGGUGUCUUUGAGGUUCUAACCCAGACCCGUCAUCCGGGUCGGGGACCGUGCAUGGUAGGCAGUUUGACUGGGGCGGUCUCCUCCCAAAGCGUAACGGAGGAGUUCGAAGGUUACCUAGGUCCGGUCGGAAAUCGGACUGAUAGUGCAAUGGCAAAAGGUAGCUUAACUGCGAGACCGACAAGUCGGGCAGGUGCGAAAGCAGGACAUAGUGAUCCGGUGGUUCUGUAUGGAAGGGCCAUCGCUCAACGGAUAAAAGGUACUCCGGGGAUAACAGGCUGAUUCCGCCCAAGAGUUCAUAUCGACGGCGGAGUUUGGCACCUCGAUGUCGGCUCAUCACAUCCUGGGGCUGUAGUCGGUCCCAAGGGUAUGGCUGUUCGCCAUUUAAAGUGGUACGUGAGCUGGGUUUAAAACGUCGUGAGACAGUUUGGUCCCUAUCUGCAGUGGGCGUUGGAAGUUUGACGGGGGCUGCUCCUAGUACGAGAGGACCGGAGUGGACGAACCUCUGGUGUACCGGUUGUAACGCCAGUUGCAUAGCCGGGUAGCUAAGUUCGGAAGAGAUAAGCGCUGAAAGCAUCUAAGCGCGAAACUCGCCUGAAGAUGAGACUUCCCUUGCGGUUUAACCGCACUAAAGGGUCGUUCGAGACCAGGACGUUGAUAGGUGGGGUGUGGAAGCGCGGUAACGCGUGAAGCUAACCCAUACUAAUUGCCCGUGAGGCUUGACUCU